rnacentral:rRNA from 1 species
UACGAACCGUCCAAACGUUACUCGGAAUCACUGGGCUUAAAGGGGGCGUAGGCUGCGCGGAGGGUGGGAUGUGAAAUCCCCCGGCUCAACCGGGGAAUAGCGUCCCAAACCGCCGUGCUCGAGGGAGACAGAGGUGAGCGGAACUGAUGGUGGAGCGGUGAAAUGCGUUGAUAUCAUCAGGAACACCAGUGGCGAAGGCGGCUCACUGGGUCUUUCCUAACGCUGAGGCACGAAAGCUAGGGGAGCGAACGGG